rnacentral:misc_RNA from 1 species
UGGAAGUAAAAGUCGUAACAAGGUCUCCGUAGGUGAACCUGCGGAGGGAUCAUUACACAAAUUAAAAUAUGAAGGCUUCGGCUGGAUUAUUUUUAUCACCCUUGUCUUUUGCGCACUUGUUGUUUCCUGGGCGGGUUCGCCCGCCACCAGGACCACACCAUAAACCUUUUUUUAUGCAGUUGCAAUCAGCGUCAGUAUAACAAAUGUAAAUCAUUUACAACUUUCAACAACGGAUCUCUUGGUUCUGGCAUCGAUGAAGAACGCAGCGAAAUGCGAUACGUAGUGUGAAUUGCAGAAUUCAGUGAAUCAUCGAAUCUUUGAACGCACAUUGCGCCCUUUGGUAUUCCAAAGGGCAUGCCUGUUCGAGCGUCAUUUGUACCCUCAAGCUUUGCUUGGUGUUGGGCGUCUUUUGUCUUUGGCCUCGCCCAAAGACUCGCCUUAAAACGAUUGGCAGCCGGCCUACUGGUUUCGCAGCGCAGCACAUUUUUGCGCUUGCAAUCAGCAAAAAGGACGGCAAUCCAUCAAGACUACAUUUUUACGUUUGACCUCGGAUCAGGUAGGGAUACCCGCUGAACUUAAGCAUAUCAAUAA